UCACCUGACCUCAGCUGGGGGGAAAGAGUCACACUCACAGGUACACCUUACACUAGAGCUGGGCCACAAGAAGUCAAUUCCAUGCAGGGGGCCUGCCCUCCCCAGGAGAACCUGUGUAACCUGCCCAGUAGGUAAAGAAAGCUUCCACCUGGUCACUAGUUGGGGAGGAAAGGAGAGGCUGAAGAGCUGGCUGUGACUUCUUCUCCUAAGGACCAUGCUGUGCUUGAAGAAGCUGACAGGCAGGUGCCACUGAAACAUGUUGUGAGGUUGGGAACACCCACAAGCAGCCUUUCAGAUACAACAAUAAAAAGUUCAAACAACGUUGAUGCCCCAUUAUGAAAAAUACUGAUGCUCACAUGGAUUACUCCAGGAACUGUGAACAAUGGAAACCUCUCCGAAGACACAUGGAUCUGACGAAGUGGGUAUUCACCCACAAAAGCUCCUGCUCCUAUACAUCUGUUAGUCUAUAAAGUGCCACAGCACUCUUUGCUGCUUUUUCCUAAGAUAGGACUACAGAAUGGGAACUGUUUAACUCAGGUAACAGCAAAAGAUCUUUCUAGCAAGUUAGAAGAAGAUGUAAAAGGGAGAAGUGACAUCAUGAAUGGGCCUCACUCCCCACACAAGAGAACACCUGGAAACAUCUGAGGAACAAAGACUGAACUGGGGGAAGUGCUGGUACCAGGCAGGAAAGAAGGAAGCCUGCCUGCGUAUGAAAUCUUGGUGGACUGUUUAUACUAUCUAACAGGGUGAGACUCUGCUUACUUCAAAUCCUCUCUAGUAUAUUAGGCUUAGAUUGGGUUUUUGUUCAUUUGCUAGGUAAU